rnacentral:misc_RNA from 1 species
AAGUCGUAACAAGGUUUCCGUAGGUGAACCUGCGGAAGGAUCACUAACACGUGUCCAAACGUUAAAACCCCCUCGCGAACCUUCAUCCUGCUCUUGUAACCCGUAGUGAUUCAGAGACCUCUGGCUACGCGCGAACAUUGGAACAGUUACAAUCGAGCGGUACUUCAAUAGGCAAUGUUUCCCCAAGCAGGCAGUGUCGGAAAGUGUCAUUGAUUGUGCAAGGAUAGCGCUUCUACUUUCCUGUAGACCGUUCACUCGAGAAGGAGCUUUGCCAAAUAGUCCCCAUGGCCCCUAAUAACCCCACAGUUUAAUGUGAAGCUCAAUGUAAUACAUUGGGUAAAAAGACCGAACAACUGUUAACAAUGGAUAUCUUGGUUCUC